UCUACCCAGAAAGCCACGGCUAACUAGGUGCCCAGCCAGCCGGCGGUAAUACGUAGGUGGCAAGGCGUUGUCCGGGAUUUAUUGGGCGUAAAAGGCGAGGCGCAGGGCGGUUUCUAAAGUUGGAUGGGGAAAGCCCCCGGUUCAACCGGGGGAAGGGUCAUUGGGAAACUGGGAAGACUUGAGUGCAAAAAGAGAAGAGUGGAAUUCCCAUGGUGUAGCGGGUGAAAGGGGUAGAAAAUAUGGGAGGACCCCCGGGGGGAAGGCCGGUUUUUUGUUCUGUACUGAACGUGAGGGUUGGAAAGCGGGGGGACCAACCAGGAUUAGAUCCCUUGUUAUUCCACCCCUUAAAGAAGGAGUGUUAAGGGUGGGAGGGUUUCGCCCUUUCAGUGCGGCAGUUAAGGCAUUAAGCAUUCCCCUGGGGAAGUAGGACCGCAAGGUGGAAAUUCAAAGAAAUUGACGGGGGCCCGCACAAGCGGUGGAGCAUGUGGUUAAAUUGGAAGCAACGGGAAGACCCUUACCAGUUCUUGACAUCCUUUGACCAUUUUAGAGAUAGAGCUUCCCCUUCGGGGGCAAAGUGACAGGUGGUGCAUGGUUUUCGUCAGUUCGUUUCGUGAGAUGUUGGGUUAAUUCCCGCAACGAGCGCAACCUUUAUUGUUAGUUGCCAUCAUUCAGUUGGGCAUUUUAGCAAGACUGCCGGUGACAAACCGGAGGAAGGUGGGGAUGACGUCAAAUCAUCAUGCCCCUUAUGCCCUGGGUUACACACGUGUUACAAUGGGAAGUACAACGAGUGGGGAAGUCGGGAGGUUAAGUUAAUUUCUUAAAGCUUUUUUCAGUUCGGAUUGCAGGCUGCAAUUCCCCUGCAUGAAGCCGGAAUCGUUAGUAAUCGCGGAUCAGCACGCCGCGGUGAAUACGUUCCCGGCCCUUGUACACACCGCCCGUCACACCACGAGAGUUGUAACACCCGAAGUCGGUGAGGUAACUCUGAGCCAGCCGCUAAAGG
rnacentral:rRNA from 1 species